rnacentral:rRNA from 1 species
ACNUGNNNUCGAGCGAACAGAGAAGGAGCUUGCUCCUUCGACGUUAGCGGCGGACGGGUGAGUAACACGUGGGCAACCUACCUUAUAGUUUGGGAUAACUCCGGGAAACCGGGGCUAAUACCGAAUAAUCUGUUUCACCUCAUGGUGAAACACUGAAAGACGGUUUCGGCUGUCGCUAUAGGAUGGGCCCGCGGCGCAUUAGCUAGUUGGUGAGGUAACGGCUCACCAAGGCGACGAUGCGUAGCCGACCUGAGAGGGUGAUCGGCCACACUGGGACUGAGACACGGCCCAGACUCCUACGGGAGGCAGCAGUAGGGAAUCUUCCACAAUGGGCGAAAGCCUGAUGGAGCAACGCCGCGUGAGUGAAGAAGGAUUUCGGUUCGUAAAACUCUGUUGUAAGGGAAGAACAAGUACAGUAGUAACUGGCUGUACCUUGACGGUACCUUAUUAGAAAGCCACGGCUAACUACGUGCCAGCAGCCGCGGUAAUACGUAGGUGGCAAGCGUUGUCCGGAAUUAUUGGGCGUAAAGCGCGCGCAGGUGGUUUCUUAAGUCUGAUGUGAAAGCCCACGGCUCAACCGUGGAGGGUCAUUGGAAACUGGGAGACUUGAGUGCAGAAGAGGAUAGUGGAAUUCCAAGUGUAGCGGUGAAAUGCGUAGAGAUUUGGAGGAACACCAGUGGCGAANGCGACUAUCUGGUCUGUAACUGACACUGANGCGCGAAAGCGUGGGGAGCAAACAGGANUAGAUACCCUGGUAGUCCACGCCGUAAACGAUGANUGCUAAGUGNUNNGGGUUUCCGCCCCUUANUGCUGCAGCUAACGCAUUAAGCACUCCGCCU